GGCGGGGUCCUAAGACCUGGCUGGCGGCGUUCCCCGAUCCAGUCUUGGAGAGCUGGGCUCCGGGCUGACGCCUUUCCCCGCGGUAGUCCCCGGAGCGCCUGGCGCAGUAGGCCUGCGGUAGCUUGGCCUUGCCGACCAGCUUUGGAAACUGAAAUGACUAAAGAACAUCUAGACCUGCCUAGCUCCACAUGAAGGAACUAAGGAGAUCCAGGGUCCAGUGUCACCAUAAGGAGCUUAUGUCCCAGGGCUUUUAGGGUCUGGUCCUUAGGCGUCACGGGCUUGAUUCCAAGAAUAGCAGAGCCUAAAAGUUGAUCCCACAGAUGAGAACAAUUGGCCAUGAAGGUGAAGUUAUACCUGAAGCAAAAGCCAUCAUGUCCUGAGAGUCAGUCUGUUUUUCCAAAUAAUAGGAACAUCUUUUGACCACUGUGAAUAUUAGUGUGGCUGGCUGUUAGACGUUGGACACCAGAUGAUGUACUCUUCUUGGAGAAGAUCACUUCUGCUUCCAGCUUUCCUACAGUUCUUUCUGUAGGGUUGAGACGUCGUGAGCUUUCCCCUAUCCACUUUGGCAUGUCCAUUUGUGCCAUCCACAUUUGGGCAGUCAUUAUGGUGAAACUUUAUGGUGAUGACUAUUUGAGUCACUUUUAGGAAAGGAGCUAGGAAGCAGCAGAUGGAGGCAGGGCAGGAGAUGGUGGAUUAUGUAUAGAAACUACAUUUAUGGUUUUGAUCAUUUUUUCACAACGUGGUUAUUUCUCAUAUACUUUGCCAACUAGGCAUAUGACAAGAGAAAGUGCCAAGCCAGUUUCAUAAAUACAGUAUGUGAUAGUUUGAAUGCAGUUGUCCCUCAUAAUCUCAUAGGGAGUGGCUUUAUUGAAGUAGGUGUGGCCUUUUUGGAGGAAGUGUGUCACUGUGGGGGCAGGCUUUGAGGUCUCCUAUGCUCAAGCUUCACUCAGUAUGAUACUCAGUUCCCUUCCUGUGAUCGCAAUGUAGCCAGCAAUGUCUGCCUGAAUGCCACCAUGUUCCCUGACAUGAUGAUAAUGGACACAAUAUAAUGAAAAAAUUUAAAAAUCAAUUCAUAAUCAAAUUGUUAUGUGAUCCAGCAAUCUUUCUUUUAGAUAUGACCACCCUCUAGAGUGAAAAAAAAAUUAGGAACACCAAAGAGAUAUUUUUGUACAUUUAAAGUCAUAACAUCAUCUUCACAAGUCAGAAUGCAGAAGGAGCUUGGCUGUUCACCCAUGGACAAAUGGCUACAUAACAUGUGAUCUGUAUAUGGGACAGAAUGUUCUUCAGCCUCAGAAAGGAAGAAGAUUCUGCUUUAAUGUGAGUCAAGCCUGAACACAUUGUGCAGGGUGAAAUAAGCCACAAAAGGGUCAGGUACUGGAUAACCAUCAGAUACCUAGGGUGGGACAACUCAUCGAUAUACAAAGCAUGGUUGCCAAGAGGUGAACAGAAGUUACAGUUUAACCCUGGUGUCAGUUCUGCAAGGUGAAUGUACUUCACACUGAUUCUACACUUUGUAGUGGUUAAAAUGGCAAAGUUCCUGUGUUUUAUAAAAGUUUUUUUUU